UAAAAAAAGUUAAAAUUAGUAGCACUGAAUAUUCUCAAACAUAGUCGCUUUUAAAAAAGUUCGUCUCACGGUGUCCAUGAUUCCGGUCAUUCUGCUUGUCUAAAAUAAAAAACGUAAAAGUUCUUUAAUUAGUAUAAAUUUGGUUAUAAUAGGAGCUAGAACAAAACAAAAAAAUUGGUAAUUAAAAAAGUAGCGAUACUUUGAAAUUUGAUUAUCGAUUUUUGUUUGUUUUGUUAAACUUUGGAGGGGUCUAAAAAAAUAGAAAAUAUAAAAGUGUUUGAUUGAUUCUAGUAGAGGCUGUAAUCACACAUGUACUACAUCUGUACUUAAAAUUUUGAGUCAAUUGGUCAAGUAGGUUUUGAAAUAUCAUGGACACCGUUCUGAAAAACAUAGUUUUCAGAAAAAUGCCUUUAGAAUUUAGUAUAAUAAUAAUGAUUAUUCAUAUAAUGAAAAUCAAACAAUCAUGACUUCGUUAAUUCUAGGAGUUUGCAUGUAAGGUUUCAGAGAUAUAUUUUGAAACUAUAUCCUCCAAGGAUAUGAAAAAAUAAAUUGAUUUUUUGAAAAGUUCACACUAGGAUACCCCCUUAACCUCUUAGGUACGGCUGAAUUUUGCGCGGGCUGUUACUCUGUACGGCAGAGUUUGAUGCGAAUUACGCGUGAAUAAUGCAACACUGCAAUGUUAUAAAACGUUGUGAGGGGAAAAAAGUAUGAAGCAAGAUAAAUGAAAAAGAUCAUUUAGUUCAAACGGUGAGCGAAUGAGUCAGUAAAGUGAGCUACUAUAGUGGCGCAUCGUACCUAAGAGGUUAAAGAAAAACUCAAAAUGUUUUUCUGAUGUGCCAAGUUCUACAAGUCCAUGCAAUUUCAAAAAGAUCCAGGAAUAUGUAUGCGUAAAAUUGAUCGUAAAUAAUAAACAUUUUUUUGUUGUAAUGGA